rnacentral:rRNA from 1 species
GAUGAACGCUGGCGGCGUGCCUAAUACAUGCAAGUCGAGCGAACGGACGAGAAGCUUGCUUCUCUGAUGUUAGCGGCGGACGGGUGAGUAACACGUGGAUAACCUACCUAUAAGACUGGGAUAACUUCGGGAAACCGGAGCUAAUACCGGAUAAUAUUUUGAACCGCAUGGUUCAAAAGUGAAAGACGGUCUUGCUGUCACUUAUAGAUGGAUCCGCGCUGCAUUAGCUAGUUGGUAAGGUAACGGCUUACCAAGGCAACGAUGCAUAGCCGACCUGAGAGGGUGAUCGGCCACACUGGAACUGAGACACGGUCCAGACUCCUACGGGAGGCAGCAGUAGGGAAUCUUCCGCAAAGGGCGAAAGCCUGACGGAGCAACGCCGCGUGAGUGGUGAAGGCCUUCGGAUCGUAAAACUCUGUUAUUAGGGAAGAACAUAUGUGUAAGUAACUGUGCACAUCUUGACGGUACCUAAUCAGAAAGCCACGGCUAACUACGUG